rnacentral:rRNA from 1 species
UCCGGCCGCCAUGGCGGCCGCGGGAAUUCGAUUGGAAACAGAUGCUAAUACCGUAUAACAAUGACAACCGCAUGGUUGUUAUUUAAAAGAUGGUUCUGCUAUCACUAAGAGAUGGUCCCGCGGUGCAUUAGCUAGUUGGUAAGGUAAUGGCUUACCAAGGCGAUGAUGCAUAGCCGAGUUGAGAGACUGAUCGGCCACAAUGGGACUGAGACACGGCCCAUACUCCUACGGGAGGCAGCAGUAGGGAAUCUUCCACAAUGGGCGAAAGCCUGAUGGAGCAACGCCGCGUGUGUGAUGAAGGGUUUCGGCUCGUAAAACACUGUUGUAAGAGAAGAAUGACAUUGAGAGUAACUGUUCAAUGUGUGACGGUAUCUUACCAGAAAGGAACGGCUAAAUACGUGCCAGCAGCCGCGGUAAUACGAUAAUCACUAGUGAAUUCGCGGCCGCCUGCAGGUCGACCAUAUGGGAGAGCUCCCAACGCGUUGGA